AAAAAAAAAAAAAAAAAAAAAAAAAAAAAAAAAAACAGCAAAUGAUAUAUAAAAAAUAGAGAAAACGAAAAAUAAUAAAACUAACCUGGUAAAAAAAAGUAAACAAAAAAUAUAUAAAUUUUUUAAAAGAAAAGCAAAAACUAUAUUUCAUUUAAUUUUUUAAAUUUCUCCUUUGAUACUAUUAUAAAAAAAAAAGAAAAAAACGAGCAAGCUUAUCCGUCAUGCUAUAUAUAUAUGUUACACAUUAUUUACGUGUAUAUAUACAUAUAUAUAUUUUUUUUUUUUUGUACCGCUCUGUUUUUCAUCUUGUGCUUAUUUGUUAUGUAAAAAUAAGUAAAGAAAAGCACGUGUAGGCACUUUUCCAUUGAUGUGGACACAAGCGUGAGCAUACACAUUUUGAAUUAAAAGAAUUGAUCAUGUGUAAACAAAAGUGUGAAUUUGUAUUAAAGCUUGAACAUGUAUAACAUAGUGAGGGUAAUAUAACGUAUAACACAUACGUAUAUAUAUAACAAAACAUGAGCCAUUUGUUUUUAUUAUCAUUGCCAACAUGCAAUAUUUCUUUUCUGUUAAUUUUUUUUUUUUUUUUUAAACAUUGUUACAUACUUCAAGUUGUAACAUAUAUAUAUAUAUAUAUAUAAAUAACUUAUUACCCAAUUUAAAAAUAAGUUUUAGCUUUUUACUAAUAAACAACACAUUUGAAAUAGUUUGCUUAUAAAAAAAAAACAAAAAAUGUAAUCUUUUUUUUUUUUUUUUUUUUUUUUUUUUUUUUUGUACAACUACAACAAAAAUGAUUGACGUUCGUAAAAUAUUAAAAGUUAAUGUAAAUGAUAUUUAUAAUGACUUAAACAUACUUUAUAAAAGUAACAAGGCUAAUACAAAUAUAGAAGAAAUUGAAAAAUUUAGUAAAAAAAAAUCUUUACAUGGUAAAAGAAUAAUAUCCAAGUAUAAAAACACAUUUACUAUUACGUUAGAGAAGUAUAUUUUUAUAUGUAUACAACACGACAACAUUUGGACCAUAUUGAAACACAACUGCACUCAUAAAUUCGAUAAAUGUAUUUGUAUUAGCAAUUUGAACUUGUUAAUAUUUCAAAAAUAUAAUAAACUGUUGAUACAAGAGUUUGAAAUUGCUAGUAAAAAAGAAUACAACA
rnacentral:lncRNA from 1 species